GAUGAAGAACGAAGCGAAAUGCGAUACGUAAUGUGAAUUGCAGAAUUCAGUGAAUCAUCGAAUCUUUGAACGCAUAUUGCGCUCUCUGGUAUUCCGGAGAGCAUGCUUGUUUGAGUAUCAGUAAACACCUCAACUUCCAUAUGUUUUUUGAAAUGGGAGUUGGACUUGAGUGAUCCCAACGCUUUUCCUCACCGAAAAGUGGCGGGUUACUUGAAAUGCAGGUGCAGCUGGACUUUUCUCUGAGCUAUAAGCAUAUCUAUUUAGUCUGCCUAAAAACAGAUUAUUACCUUUGCUGCAGCUAACAUAAACGAGAUUAGUUCUUGUGCUGACUGAUGCAGGAUUCACAAAGACAGGCUUCGGCCGACUUUGUAAACUCGAUCUCAAAUCAAGUAAGACUACCCGCUGAACUUAAGCAUAUCAAUAAGCGGAGGA
rnacentral:misc_RNA from 1 species